AGGGAGUCACUGUUGGGAUACCACCCUUGUAGUAUUGGAUUUCUAACCAGCAGCCGUGAUCCGGCUGGGGGACAAUGUCAGGUGGGGAGUUUGACUGGGGCGGUCGCCUCCGAAAGGGUAUCGGAGGCGCUCAAAGGUUCCCUCAGAAUGGUUGGAAACCAUUCGAAGAGUGCAAAGGCAGAAGGGAGCUUGACUGCGACACCGACGGGUGGAGCAGGUACGAAAGUAGGACUUAGUGAUCCGGUGGUAUAAAGUGGGAUUGCCAUCGCUCAACGGAUAAAAGCUACCCUGGGGAUAACAGGCUUAUCACUCCCAAGAGUUCACAUCGACGGAGUGGUUUGGCACCUCGAUGUCGGCUCAUCGCAUCCUGGGGCUGAAGUAGGUCCCAAGGGUUGGGCUGUUCGCCCAUUAAAGCGGUACGCGAGCUGGGUUCAGAACGUCGUGAGACAGUUCGGUCCCUAUCCGGCGUGGGCGUAGGAUAUUUGAGAGGAGCUGCCCUUAGUACGAGAGGACCGGGGUGGACUGGCCGCUGGUGGAUCUGUUGUAUUACCAAAUGCAUGGCAGAGUAGCCAAGCCGGGACGGGAUAAACGCUGAAGGCAUCUAAGCGUGAAGCCCCCCUCAAGAUGAGAUAUCCCAUAACGUCAAGUUAGUAAGACCCCUUGAAGACGACGAGGUAGAUAGGGCAGAGGUGGAAGUG
rnacentral:rRNA from 1 species